GCCCGGGUGGUGGAAUGGUAUACACGCAACACUUAAAAUGUUGUGGCCAAUCGGUCAUGCGGGUUCGACUCCCGCCCCGGGCA
rnacentral:tRNA from 1 species